UUUAAUCUAGAAACCACUUUUAUGAUGAUAAUUUUAUCUUAUCCAUAAAUUCUUCUUCAAUCACCGUCCUUCAAAAAAAAUUAAUUCAUUUUGGAACAUUUAAAUGGAUCGCGUAACUAUAUGUCAAGCCAAAGUCCAAACCUAACUUAACCUUAGCCCCUCCCCAACGAUAUAUAAAAUUUGCAAACAGGUAUUUGAAAUCCUAAGGUAUCUCAGUCUCCCACACAAAUCACCUAAAAUUACUAUAUCACACUAGAAGGAAGAACUCACAACUCAGU
rnacentral:lncRNA from 1 species